ACAUUGAAAUCUUUUGUUUAAGUAUUAAAUUCUUAAUUUAAAUCUAGGGAAAAAUCUUUUAAAAUCAUUCUCUCAAUGUU
rnacentral:tRNA from 1 species